rnacentral:rRNA from 1 species
CGUGUAGGCGGUUUCGUAUGUCUGACGUGAAAGCCCCGGGCUCACCCCGGGAAGUGCGUUGGAAACUGCGAGACUAGAGUCCCGGAGAGGAAGGUGGAAUUCCAGGUGUAGCGGUGAAAUGCGUAGAUAUCUGGAAGAACACCGGUGGCGAAGGCGGCCUUCUGGACGGUGACUGACGCUGAGACGCGAAAGGCGUGGGGGAGAAAC